rnacentral:rRNA from 1 species
UUUAGCAGCCAUAUCACCCUGCAGCCCAAGACUGGUUGCCCACUGAAGCUAAGCAGGGUUGAGCUGGUCAGUACCUGGAUGGGAGACCUCCUGGGAAAACUAGGUUGCUGCUGGAA